rnacentral:lncRNA from 1 species
GUAACAUUGUUUAAAAAAAAAUCAGAUGAUACACAUUUGAAAAAUGGUAAGUGAAGGGACCUCAUACUCCCAUCCUGUGCCCCUGGAGAGAACCAGUCACUGUGAUUCUCUCUAUAUGGUGUAUACCUUUAUAAAGAGAUAUUUUUGAGUGAGAGGGUGUUUAAUGAAUAAUGAGAGGAAUGUUCUCAAAUUUGUAGUAUAUAUACAUCAGUGUUUAAACAGGUAAACCGAGUAGACUUGUGUAGGAAAUACGAGAGUCCUUUUUUUCUAUGAAGAUUUUUGAAUUCUUAGGUUUGAUUACCCCUUCAAUGUUGUGUUGGUUUUAUUGACAUUGCAGAUGCUAGAUCUUAGAGGGACAAAUCUUGUUUACAUGCUUGAGGUAUUUUGUGUAGAAACUGAAAAUAGAACUAGGUACAUUUACUCCCAAUGGAUGUCUGGUUCCUUUGAAAGUCUAGAUGAAAAGAAACAUGGAAAGUCUUAGAUUAUAAAUAUAUCUUCUCUUAGAAAUAGUCUGUAGAGUCUAAGGAAAAGUCAUAUUUU